GCGGNGGAAGGCGCAUGCCCUUUCCGCCAAAGGAGGCGACUCCGGUGCCGGCUGGGCACGCGUGACAUUAGCUAGUUGGCGGGGCGACGGCCCACCAAGGCGACGAUGUCUAGGGGUUCUGAGAGGAAGGUCCCCCACACUGGUACUGAGACACGGACCAGACUCCUACGGGAGGCAGCAG
rnacentral:rRNA from 1 species